UACGAAGGGAGCUAGCGUUGUUCGGAAUUACUGGGCGUAAAGGGCUCGUAGGCGGCCAACUAAGUCGGAUGUGAAAUCCCCAGGCUUAACCUGGGAACUGCAUCCGAUACUGGUUGGCUUGAAUCCGGGAGAGGGAUGCAGAAUUCCAGGUGUAGCGGUGAAAUGCGUAGAUAUCUGGAGGAAUACCGGUGGCGAAGGCGGCAUCCUGGACCGGCAUUGACGCUGAUGAGCGAAAGCUAGGGGAGCAAACAGG
rnacentral:rRNA from 1 species